GUGUCAGCAGCCGCGGUAAUACGUAGGGUGCGAGCGUUAAUCGGAAUUACUGGGCGUAAAGCGUGCGCAGGCGGUUAUAUAAGACAGAUGUGAAAUCCCCGGGCUCAACCUGGGACCUGCAUUUGUGACUGUAUAGCUAGAGUGCGGCAGAGGGGGAUGGAAUUCCGCGUGUAGCAGUGAAAUGCGUAGAUAUGCGGAGGAACACCGAUGGCGAAGGCAAUCCCCUGGGCCUGCACUGACGCUCAUGCACGAAAGCGUGGGGAGCAAACAGGAUUAGAUACCCUGGUAGUCCACGCCCUAAACGAUGUCAACUGGUUGUUGGGUCUUCACUGACUCAGUAACGAAGCUAACGCGUGAAGUUGACCGCCUGGGGAGUACGGCCGCAAGGUUGAAACUUAAAUGAAUUGGCGGGG
rnacentral:rRNA from 1 species